rnacentral:rRNA from 1 species
AGAGUUUGAUCAUGGCUCAGAAUGAACGCUGGCGGCAUGGAUUAGGCAUGCAAGUCGAACGAGAAGCGGCUCGGCCGCGAGUAAGUGGCGAAAGGGUGAGUAACACGUGAGGAACCUGCCCCCUGGUUCGGAACAAGCCUGUGAAAACGGGUCUGAAACCGGAUGAGGCCCCCUCCCGCAUGGGAGGGCAGCCAAAUAUUCAUAGCCAAGGGAUGGCCUCGCGGCCCAUUAGCUUGUUGGCGGGGUGACGGCCCACCGAGGCUACGACGGGUAGGUGGUCUGAGAGGAUGGUCACCCACACUGGGACUGAGACACUGCCCAGACUCCUACGGGAGGCUGCAGUCGAGAAUCUUCCGCAAUGGGCGCAAGCCCUGACGGAGCGAUGCCGCGUGAGGGACGAAGGCCUUCGGGUUGUAAACCUCUGUCGAGGGGAACGAACGCAAUGACGGUACCCCUCAAGAAAGCCACGGCUAACCACGUGCCAGCCGCUGC